AUUGAACGCUGGCGGAAUGCUUUACACAUGCAAGUCGAGCGGCAGCACGGGGGCAACCCUGGUGGCGAGCGGCGAACGGGUGAGUAAUACAUCGGAACAUGCCCAGUCGUGGGGGAUAACACUUCGAAAGAAGUGCUAAUACCGCAUACGUCCUGAGGGAGAAAGCGGGGGAUCUUCGGACCUCGCGCGAUUGGAGUGGCCGAUGUCAGAUUAGCUAGUUGGUGGGGUAAAGGCCUACCAAGGCAACGAUCUGUAGCUGGCCUGAGAGGAUGAUCAGCCACACUGGGACUGUGACACGGCCCAGACUCCUACGGGAGGCAGCAGUGGGGAAUUUUGGACAAUGGGGGCAACCCUGAUCCAGCCAUUCCGCGUGAGUGAAGAAGGCCUUCGGGUUGUAAAGCUCUUUCGGCAGGAACGAAACGGCGAGCUCUAACAUAGCUUGCUAAUGACGGUACCUGAAGAAGAAGCACCGGCUAACUACGUGCCAGCAGCCGCAGUAACAC
rnacentral:rRNA from 1 species